rnacentral:lncRNA from 1 species
ACAAAAUGGAAAAUAUAGUUUUGCAAGUUUAACACCAUUGUGAUAAAAUUCUAUUUUUUUCUUCCUUGAUGACUUUGAUUGGAUUACAGGUGGAUAAUGCAAUUUGGGGCACAUGAUCAGGCUGUGACUGCAGCCUAUCUUCCAACAGGUCCCUUUACAAUGAAGUUAUCACUACCCGAUCAGAAUUUUCCUGAAUCACCAGACCAAGAUAUAAUUUUAUCUACAGUUCUCCUUCUAAGGUAAGUAAUGCUAUUGCAACUUCUCAGGUGGACAUUAUCCAUUUACAGCUUGUUGCUUGUUGCUUGAUUGCAUUUAAAAUAAUCUAAUUAAACUAUGUUCUGUUAACAAUAGCAGUCCCUUAAUUUGCACAUGCCAUUUACACCUUUCUAAGUGAUCUUAAUCUCAAAUAAUUUGUCUAAUCCUUUCCCCCCUUCUGGGUCUUAUAGGAUAAGAUCUCAGAAGAGGGAAGCUGCAACUACUAAAACUGUAUUUCACUUGUCUCAGCAGGUUAUCUGAUGUGCUUAUCAAUAGCAUAAUUUGAGAUCUUUGCAUUUCAUUGCAUAUCUUGGCUUGUUUGAAAUCUCAGUUUACAAACUGAAUUUUGUUUGCAACUUGGGCUAUUUCACAUAACCUUAGUGCCACCUGUUAAACUGACCUCCAGUUCCCUCUGCCCCCAUUGUCAUUUUAAUAACUAUCUUCACUGAUACCAGGGGACAAAAGGAGAUGGAAAAACAAUUUUAGUACCUGGAUGAUCAUGGAAUGUUAAAGGUGGAAAAGAGCAUUUGGUCCUCAAGAAUCCGAAUCAGUGUAUCCACGAUAUCAGCUUGAACGCUCUGAACAGCAAGUACACCAUUAGCAGAGUUUUAAUCCUGAAAUCUUCUGCAUACUGCAUUUAGGGAAGGAAUGGUGGCAGGGCAAAAUUGGCCAACAUGAAGAAUAUUAAAGUUGAUGUCACUAGAAGUCCAAAGCAAACAGGUUGAGACUGUGAUCCUGCCUUAGGUAUGGGUACCUGGUGGGCUUAAUAUAAGUGUUUUAAUUCUGCUGAAUGUUUCACUUCUGACAGUGAUUUGGGAGUUUUGCUGAAGGGAACCCAGAGAGGGCGCUC